rnacentral:rRNA from 1 species
GACGAACGCUGGCGGCGUGCCUAAUACAUGCAAGUAGAACGCUGAAGAGAGGAGCUUGCUCUUCUUGGAUGAGUUGCGAACGGGUGAGUAACGCGUAGGUAACCUGCCUGGUAGCGGGGGAUAACUAUUGGAAACGAUAGUUAAUACCGCAUAAAAUUGAUUAUUGCAUGAUAAUUAAUUGAAAGAUGCAACUGCAUCACUACCAGAUGGACCUGCGUUGUAUUAGCUAGUUGGUGAGGUAACGGCUCACCAAGGCGACGAUACAUAGCCGACCUGAGAGGGUGAUCGGCCACACUGGGACUGAGACACGGCCCAGACUCCUACGGGAGGCAGCAGUAGGGAAUCUUCGGCAAUGGGGGGAACCCUGACCGAGCAACGCCGCGUGAGUGAAGAAGGUUUUCGGAUCGUAAAGCUCUGUUGUAAGAGAAGAACGGGUGUGAGAGUGGAAAGUUCACACUGUGACGGUAUCUUACCAGAAGGGGACGGCUAACUACGUG